CAAAACUAACAGAUUUACUUCGGUAAUGACGUUAGGAAAGCGAGCGGCGGAUGGGUGAGUAACACGUGGGGAACCUGCCCCAUAGUCUGGGAUACCACUUGGAAACAGGUGCUAAUACCGGAUAAGAAAGCAGAUCGCAUGAUCAGCUUUUAAAAGGCGGCGUAAGCUGUCGCUAUGGGAUGGCCCCGCGGUGCAUUAGCUAGUUGGUAAGGUAAAGGCUUACCAAGGCGAUGAUGCAUAGCCGAGUUGAGAGACUGAUCGGCCACAUUGGGACUGAGACACGGCCCAAACUCCUACGGGAGGCAGCAGUAGGGAAUCUUCCACAAUGGACGCAAGUCUGAUGGAGCAACGCCGCGUGAGUGAAGAAGGUUUUCGGAUCGUAAAGCUCUGUUGUUGGUGAA
rnacentral:rRNA from 1 species